AUUGAACGCUGGCGGCAUGCUUUACACAUGCAAGUCGAACGGCAGCGCGGGCUUCGGCCUGGCGGCGAGUGGCGAACGGGUGAGUAAUGCAUCGGAACGUGCCCAGUAGUGGGGGAUAGCCCGCCGAAAGCCGGAUUAAUACCGCAUACGACCUGAGGGUGAAAGCGGGGGACCGAAAGGCCUCGCGCUAUUGGAGCGGCCGAUGUCGGAUUAGCUAGUUGGUGGGGUAAAGGCUUACCAAGGCGACGAUCCGUAGCUGGUCUGAGAGGACGACCAGCCACACUGGGACUGAGACACGGCCCAGACUCCUACGGGAGGCAGCAGUGGGGAAUUUUGGACAAUGGGGGCAACCCUGAUCCAGCCAUGCCGCGUGCGGGAAGAAGGCCUUCGGGUUGUAAACCGCUUUUGUUCGGGAAGAAAUCCUCUGGGCUAAUACCCCGGGGGGAUGACGGUACCGGAAGAAUAAGCACCGGCUAACUACGUG
rnacentral:rRNA from 1 species